ensembl:lncRNA
GGAAUAUUUGUUCAUGUCAUCUAGAUCAAGGACAGAUUAGCUUUGGGUCUGUAUGAGGCGCUGUCCUGCAGUCAAUUACCAAAAGCCUCGUGGGUGGAAUGUUAUUCAUGCUUUUCAUAAUUUCAUAAACAUUUUUUUUUUUUUUUUUUACUUGAUGAAAAUCUGGUGUUUCUAUGUCAAACAGUUAACAGUUAUAUUUCAGACUUCUGUAAUGUUUAAAUUACAUUGCUGCCUGCUAUAUGAUGAGAGAGCUGUGGGUUGGCAGACCACUACAUUGCUGCCUGCUAUAUGAUGAGAGAUGUCAGGGGGGGGA